rnacentral:rRNA from 1 species
GAUGAACGCUGACAGAAUGCUUAACACAUGCAAGUCUACUUGAAGCUAACUUCGGUUAGUGGAGGGUGGCGGACGGGUGAGUAACGCGUAAAGAACUUGCCUCACAGUUUGGGACAACAUUUGGAAACGAAUGCUAAUACCGGAUAUUAUGAUACUUCUGCAUGGAAGAAUCAUGAAAGCUAUAUGCGCUGUGAGAGAGCUUUGCGUCCCAUUAGCUAGUUGGAGAGGUAACGGCUCACCAAGGCGAUGAUGGGUAGCCGGCCUGAGAGGGUGAACGGCCACAAGGGGACUGAGACACGGCCCUUACUCCUACGGGAGGCAGCAGUGGGGAAUAUUGGACAAUGGACCAAAAGUCUGAUCCAGCAAUUCUGUGUGCACGAUGAAGUUUUUCGGAAUGUAAAGUGCUUUCAGUUGGGAAGAAGCAAGUGACGGUACCAACAGAAGAAGCGACGGCUAAAUACGUGCCAGCAGCCGCGGUAAUACGUAUGUCGCAAGCGUUAUCCGGAUUUAUUGGGCGUAAAGCGCGUCUAGGUGGUUAUAUAAGUCUGAUGUGAAAAUGCGGGGCUCAACUCCGUAUUGCGUUGGAAACUGUAUGACUAGAGUACUGGAGAGGUAAGCGGAACUACAAGUGUAGAGGUGAAAUUCGUAAUAUUUGUAGGAAUGCCGAUGGGGAAGCCAGCUUACUGGACAGAUACUGACGCUAAAGCGCGAAAGCGUGGGUAGCAAACAGG